UGUAUUUGUGGGAGAACAUUACAAGUUUGUAACUUGAACUUGGCCAAACCAACAGGAGGGGCUCUUCCUUCCAGUAAAUCCGGUAUUCACUCUCAGAAAUCGAACCUCAGGAAACUCUGUCUCCAUUGCAGAAAUACUCCACUGGAGUGGAUUUUUCUUUCCUCACCCGGGUGGUCUUCUUGGACUCCUUCAUGUCUCUUUCAUGCACCACUUUUCAGGAGAUGCUUCCUACUCAAUUUCAGGGCCAGAAUAUUCACCAAACAAAUAGGUUUGAUACCCAAGAAGAAAUAUGAAACCCAUGAAGUUAUCUGGGAAUGGAAGAUCAGAAUUUGCUUUUUUGUCAACUUGGACUUAACACAAUUGCAUUGUACUAAUCAUGCUAGUGAUAAAACUGAAAGCUGAACAGCUAAUGGUCAAGAAAUAUGCACUGUGUGGAAGUAUUAUCUUGGGAGUGGCUCGUUGUAUAGCUAGAAAACACAUUGGAUGGAGGCUCAAGAACAAGAAUGCUGAGUAAGGCACGUAUAUUUUCUUUCAGUAUACCUGAAAUAGUUGAAUGUCAGUGAAUGAUGAUACUUUAUCUUUUAAUUUAGAGCUGCUAGUUUGAGAGCAAAUUGGAGUGAGCCAAUCAAACUCAGGGAGAAAUGGGAAGCACAAUGCUUUGAGGAAGAAAAAGGUAAAGGAAUUAUGAACUUUUCUCUCACCAAUGGAAACUGCUUAUUUGGCUUGCUCAAAUUUCACCUGUCUUUUGGAGGUUCAACUUCUCUCAAUUUCUUCCAACUGACUCUAUUCCAUCCUCAAUCGAAAUAGUACAUCUACUCCUGGCAUUUUCAUUUCUACUUUUGCACAUUAGUAACUGAAUGGGCCACUGUGUCCCUACUGUUGCUACUUUCUACUUGACACUAUAUGAAAGAACUCAUGUUUGGCCUCCUUCUCCACCCAGAUGCACCUUUACAGACCUAAGUGAAGUCAUUUUUUUCAGCUAUAGGAACUGAAAAUCUGAAGGGAACCUGGAAAAUGGGUACCAGCACCAACUUUCCAACUCACCAAAUCUUUAAGCUAUUUGGUCUUCCACAGUUUUGGAUCCUAUAAGUUUCUGCUUAGUUAUCUAGAGUACUGGAAAACCCUACAUAUACAUACAGUAUUAUAUAUAUAUAUAUAUAUGUAUAUAUAUAUAUAUAUAUAUAUAUAUAUAUAUAUAUACAUAUACAUAUAUAUAUAUAUAUAUAUGGCAGUGUGGUAUACUGAAAAGAGUUCCAGACUUCAAAGAGGAG
rnacentral:lncRNA from 1 species